rnacentral:rRNA from 1 species
UACGUAGGCAGCGAGCGUUGUUCGGAUUUACUGGGCGUAAAGCGUGCGUAGGCGGUGUUCCAAGUCUGUUGUGAAAUCUCCCGGCUUAACUGGGAGGGUGCGGCGGAAACUGGAACGCUGGAGUAUGGGAGAGGUAAGCGGAAUUCCCGGUGUAGCGGUGAAAUGCGUAGAUAUUAGGAGGAACACCAGUGGCGAAGGCGGCUUACUGGACUGUAACUGACGUUGAGGCUCGAAAGCGUGGGGAGCAAACAGG